rnacentral:rRNA from 1 species
CCUACGGGAGGCAGCAGUGAGGAAUAUUGGUCAAUGGGCGCAAGCCUGAACCAGCCAAGUCGCGUGAGGGAUGACGGUCCUAUGGAUUGUAAACCUCUUUUGUCGGGGAGCAAGGCCCGCCACGUGUGGCGGGAAGGAGAGUACCCGAAGAAAAAGCAUCGGCUAACUACGUGCCAGCAGCCGCGGUAAUACGUAGGGGGCAAGCGUUAUCCGGAUUUACUGGGUGUAAAGGGAGCGUAGGCGGUUUAGCAAGUCAGAAGUGAAAGCCCGGGGCUCAACUCCGGGACUGCUUUUGAAACUGUUGAACUAGAUUGCAGGAGAGGUAAGUGGAAUUCCUAGUGUAGCGGUGAAAUGCGUAGAUAUUAGGAGGAACACCAGUGGCGAAGGCGGCUUACUGGACUGUAAAUGACGCUGAGGCUCGAAAGCGUGGGGAGCAAACAGGAUUAGAUACCCGGGUAGUC